ensembl:lncRNA
CUAAUGUCUAUAAGAUCUACUCAGACCUGCUCUAUGCAUUCUGACAAGCGAAGGACCUACACUGAAUGGCGUGGAGAAAGUGUCUGAGGGAAGAAAGAAAAAAGAGAAAGUAGAGGAGCUGACGGGCCCCAGGGUAUGGAGGCUAGCGGUCUUCGUUCAUUGGUGGUGGGAGUUUCCUUGCUGUUGUGUUCUUGUUGCUGCAUCAACGCGGUCAACAUCAUCAACAUCAUCGCGAUGUGAGUGUGGUUGUGUGGUCUGGAGUGGUGUUCGGGGACCCAUUAAAUCGUCAGCCAGCCUACCCGGCUUCUGAUGUGAUGUGGUUCGGUGUAUCCAAGUCCGUUGCGUCUCUACAGCAGGGGACAGCAUUGAGCCAGUGUCAGCGUCUCACCUGUUCAAGCCAGAGAGGAAAGCUGAAGUUUCUGUAACAUAACACAACAUUUCAAAAUAAGUCAUGGUCCUACAUAUGCAAGCUAAUAAGAGAGAAAUGAAAAUCUGACAAUUUACAUAAAACCUAUGACUUAUUGCUCAUUACUAUCCGCUGGCUAUUUCAUGCAUUUGUUACUAGGGUAAACAAAAUCUGAAUAUGGAAAAUUCCAGCACAU